rnacentral:rRNA from 1 species
GAUGAACGCUGGCGGCGUGCCUAAUACAUGCAAGUCGAGCGAACAGACGAGGAGCUUGCUCCUCUGACGUUAGCGGCGGACGGGUGAGUAACACGUGGAUAACCUACCUAUAAGACUGGGAUAACUUCGGGAAACCGGAGCUAAUACCGGAUAAUAUAUUGAACCGCAUGGUUCAAUAGUGAAAGACGGUUUUGCUGUCACUUAUAGAUGGAUCCGCGCCGCAUUAGCUAGUUGGUAAGGUAACGGCUUACCAAGGCAACGAUGCGUAGCCGACCUGAGAGGGUGAUCGGCCACACUGGAACUGAGACACGGUCCAGACUCCUACGGGAGGCAGCAGUGGGGAAGCGUCCGCAAUGGGCGAAAGCCUGACGGAGCAACGCCGCGUGAGUGAUGAAGGUCUGCGGAUCGUAAAACUCUGUUAUUAGGGAAGAACAGAUGUGUAAGUAACUAUGCACGUCUUGACGGUACCGAAUCAGAAAGCCACGGCUAACUACGUG